rnacentral:rRNA from 1 species
ACGACUCUCGGCAACGGAUAUCUCGGCUCUCGCAUCGAUGAAGAACGUAGCGAAAUGCGAUACUUGGUGUGAAUUGCAGAAUCCCGUGAACCAUCGAGUCUUUGAACGCAAGUUGCGCCCGAAGCCUUCUGGCUGAGGGCACGCCUGCCUGGGCGUCACGCAA